UUACGGUUUUACAUAACAAUAAAACCGAUAUUAUGUGCCGAGAAGGAAAACAUACAGCAUUGUAUUAUGAAGAAGCAGUGUGUACUUAGCUUAAAUUCCUUGUCUAUGUCCAACCAUAGACAGUCAAUUUAGUUCCAUCUUUAGCCGCUAGGUGCUGCCAGCAAGUAUAAAGGAAGCGCAGCCAUCUUUGAUCUUCAUAGUCUUCACCAGGAAGAACUUCCUGCAAUGCUGUAUGUUUUCCUUCUCGGCACAUAAUAUCGGUUUUAUUGUUAUGUAAAACCGUAAUAUUGAUGUGCCUUUGGAAAACAUACAGCAUUGUAUUAUGAAGACGUGUUUGUUAUCUACUGGUGAAAUUAUUAAGCACAACGCUAUGAUGAAAUAGAAAGUCGACAGCGCUGCUUUAUGUAGAAGGAUUGUUUUACAGGCAAAAUUUUCUUUUUGGAAAAGAAAACAGAAUUUGGCAACAUCUGCAGACUUAGGAUCAAUUUUAAAACUGUAGCACCAUAUGCACCAUCUUCUAGUUGCUGGUAAGUAUGCUGGCAAAGUGGAUUGACACCAGCUAAUUUUCAAUAAAUCUUCUCCUGUGUA